UUUGUGCUUUUUCGAAAUUUU
rnacentral:piRNA from 1 species